rnacentral:rRNA from 1 species
UACAGAGGGGGCAAGCGUUAUUCGGAAUUAUUGGGCGUAAAGGGCGCGUAGGCGGCCUGGCAAGUGGAUGGUGAAAUCCCUCGGCUUAACCGAGGAACUGCCAUCCAGACUGCUGGGCUUGAGACCGGGAGAGGUGAGUGGAAUUCCCAGUGUAGCGGUGAAAUGCGUAGAUAUUGGGAGGAACACCAGUGGCGAAGGCGGCUCACUGGACCGGUACUGACGCUGAGGCGCGAAAGCGUGGGGAGCAAACGG